rnacentral:rRNA from 1 species
UAGCGAAAGCUAAUUGCAAAUAUCGACUUGGUCGAAUAAAAUUCUGGGUGGAAUUAUGAUAAUGACAUUAUCUGCCUACAAGUCUUGACCAAAUUACGUGCCAGCAGUCGCGGUAAUACGUAGAAGACUAGUGUUAUUCAUCUUUAAUAGGUUUAAAGGGUACCUAGACGGUAAAUCAAGCACUAAUUUACUAGAGUUACUUGUGAGGGGGCUAAAAGUACUAAUGGCGUAGAGAUAAAAUUUUUCGAUACCUUAAUUUGACGGCACAGGUAUAGGCGAAAGCAUCCCCUUAUGUGAUAACUGACGUUGAAGGACGAAGGCUUUUGGUCGAAGAGGAUUAGAUACCCUCGUAUUGAAGCAGAAAAUGAUGAAUGUCAUAGAUUAGACAGUUUCUUCUAUAAAUGAAAGUGUAAGCAUUCCACCUCAAGAGUAAAUUGGCAACAUCGGAACUGAAAUCAUUAGACCGUUUCUGAAACCAGUAGUGAAGUAUGUUGUUUAAUUAGAUAAUCCGCAAAAAACCUUACCACAAUUUGAAUAUUUAUAUUU